CACCUAUUCCAAAAAGGCCACACCUCCA
rnacentral:piRNA from 1 species